UGAGGAAUAUUGGUCAAUGGGGGCAACCCUGAACCAGCCAAGUCGCGUGAAGGAUGAAGGUCUUAUGGAUUGUAAACUUCUUUUACACGGGAAUAAAGCGGGGGACGUGUCCCUCUUUGCAUGUACCGUGUGAAUAAGGAUCGGCUAACUCCGUGCCAGCAGCCGCGGUAAUACGGAGGAUCCGAGCGUUAUCCGGAUUUAUUGGGUUUAAAGGGUGCGCAGGCGGGAUGUUAAGUCGGCGGUGAAAUUUUGCAGCUCAACUGUAAAAGUGCCUUCGAUACUGGCCUUCUUGAGUGUGGAUGAAGUAGGCGGAAUUUGUGGUGUAGCGGUGAAAUGCUUAGAGAUCGGGAGGAACAUCUGUGGCGAAGGCGACUGCCUGGACCAGCACUGACACUGAGGCACGAAAGCGUGGGGAGCAAACA
rnacentral:rRNA from 1 species